AGGACGAGAGAGGCUGAGGGUUUUGGGUUUGGACGUUGCAGAGAGAGGGAGAGAGAAGAUGCCUUGCCUUAACCUAUCGACUAACGUGAGCCUGGAGGGCAUAGACACCUCCUCAAUCCUCUCUGAAGCCACCAAGGCAGUGGCUAAAAUCAUCGGAAAGCCUGAGGCCUAUGUGAUGAUCGUGCUGAAGGGAUCGGUUCCCAUGUCAUUUGGGGGGACCGAGCAACCCACAGCUUAUGGUGAGCUGGUCUCCAUCGGAGGCCUGAAUCCGGACGCGAACAAGAAACUGAGUGCUGCGAUUGCUACGAUCCUCGAGACCAAGUUGUCCGUUCCCAAGUCACGCUUCUUUCUCAAGUUCUACGACACAAAGGCCCAUCAGAGCCAAGAAUAUGCACAGUGUUUGCAUGCUUUGCAUCAGCAAUAGAUAAUGGCUCCGACUUCGGGUGGAAUGGGUCUACCUUCUAAAUGCUGCAUAACAUCCGGUCAAGUUCCAUGAAAGAAAGAAGCACAUGCUGCAGACAAUCUUAAACUAUUGGUACGUCUGUUCUUAUAGUAAACAUGAUAUGUUUGUUGCCUGUUGGACUUAUUUAAUGAUACCAUUUGUAGCGAACUUCUUAAAUUCUCUACCAAUGUACCCACCUAUGCCAUUUUCUAUGUUUGAUCGAGACAAGUGUCAUGUGCCAUCUUGAUACAGAUUUGCAUCAUUAUGAAUGUCAAAUGCAGUUUCUUGUGGAUUCUUCGACUAUUAAGGGAAAGAUGGGGUUAUUUGUCA